rnacentral:rRNA from 1 species
UGGGGAAUAUUGGACAAUGGGCGAAAGCCUGAUCCAGCCAUGCCGCGUGUGUGAAGAAGGUCUUCGGAUUGUAAAGCACUUUAAGUUGGGAGGAAGGGCAGUAAGCGAAUACCUUGCUGUUUUGACGUUACCGACAGAAUAAGCACCGGCUAACUCUGUGCCAGCAGCCGCGGUAAUACAGAGGGUGCAAGCGUUAAUCGGAAUUACUGGGCGUAAAGCGCGCGUAGGUGGUUCGUUAAGUUGAAUGUGAAAGCCCCGGGCUCAACCUGGGAACUGCAUCCAAAACUGGCGAGCUAGAGUAGGGCAGAGGGUAGUGGAAUUUCCUGUGUAGCGGUGAAAUGCGUAGAUAUAGGAAGGAAAACCAGUGGCGAAGGCGACCACCUGGGAUCAAACUGACACUGAGGUGCGAAAGCGUGGGGAGCAAACAGG